rnacentral:rRNA from 1 species
CACGGAUCCAGAGUUUGAUUAUGGCUCAGGAUGAACGCUAGCUACAGGCUUAACACAUGCAAGUCGAGGGGCAGCAUGUUGUGUGCUUGCACACAAUGAUGGCGACCGGCGCACGGGUGAGUAACGCGUAUCCAACCUUCCCAUGACUCCGGUUCAGCCCGCCGAAAGGCGGAUUACUCCCGGAUGGUUUCCGAAGAGGGCCUCUGAUUUGGAAUAAAGAUUCAUCGGUCAUGGAUGGGGAUGCGUCUGAUUAGGCAGCAGGCGGGGUAACGGCCCACCUGGCCAACGAUCAGUAGGGGUUCUGAGAGGAAGGUCCCCCACACUGGAACUGAGACACGGUCCAGACUCCUACGGGAGGCAGCAGUGAGGAAUAUUGGUCAAUGGGCGAGAGCCUGAACCAGCCAAGUAGCGUGCAGGAUGACGGCCCUAUGGGUUGUAAACUGCUUUUAUAUGAGGAUAAAGCGCACCAUGCGUGGUGUUUUGCAGGUAUCAUAUGAAUAAGGACCGGCUAAUUCCGUGCCAGCAGCCGCGGUAAUACGGAAGGUCCGGGCGUUAUCCGGAUUUAUUGGGUUUAAAGGGAGCGCAGACGGUCAGUUAAGCGUGCAGUUAAAUGAUGUGGCUCAACCAUGUUGUGCUGCGCGAACUGGUUGACUUGAGUUCACGGAACGUGGGCGGAAUUUGUGGUGUAGCGGUGAAAUGCUUAGAUAUCACGAAGAACUCCGAUUGCGAAGGCAGCCCGCGGCAGUGUUACUGACGUUCAUGCUCGAAGGUGCGGGUAUCGAACAGGAUUAGAUACCCUGGUAGUCCGCACGGUAAACGAUGGAUGCUCGCUGUCGGCGAUACAUUGUCGGCGGCCUAGUGAAAGCAUUAAGCAUCCCACCUGGGGAGUACGCCGGCAACGGUGAAACUCAAAGGAAUUGACGGGGGCCCGCACAAGCGGAGGAACAUGUGGUUUAAUUCGAUGAUACGCGAGGAACCUUACCCGGGCUUGAAUUGCAGGUUUUGGUUUAGAGAUAGGCCUUUCCCUUCGGGGUUCCUGUGAAGGUGCUGCAUGGUUGUCGUCAGCUCGUGCCGUGAGGUGUCGGCUUAAGUGCCAUAACGAGCGCAACCCCUUUCGUCAGUUGCCAUCAGGUGAUGCUGGGCACUCUGGCGACACUGCCACCGCAAGGUGUGAGGAAGGUGGGGAUGACGUCAAAUCAGCACGGCCCUUACGUCCGGGGCUACACACGUGUUACAAUGGGGCAUACAGAGCGUCGGCGUGUCGCAAGACGUGUCUAAUCGUUAAACUGUCCCUCAGUUCGGAUUGGGGUCUGCAACCCGACCCCAUGAAGCUGGAUUCGCUAGUAAUCGCGCAUCAGCCAUGGCGCGGUGAAUACGUUCCCGGGCCUUGUACACACCGCCCGUCAAGCCAUGAAAGCCGGGGGCGCCUGAAGUCCGUGACCGCGAGGAUCGGCCUAGGGCGAAACCGGUGAUUGGGGCUAAGUCGUAACAAGGUAGCCGUAAGCUUCAC